GGAUGAUGACCAAAUAGACUGAAAGAUGAAGAAAUGCACCUCAACUGACUAAA
rnacentral:snoRNA from 18 species